rnacentral:sRNA from 12 species
GAUGGAGCCCAAGGCAGUGUUCGGCAUAUCCUCAUAA